AACGCACGAGACCUGCGGACCUGCGGAAGGAUCAUUAAAGAGUGAUGCCACCCUUCAAAGGGCUGGUAGUAAACUCCAACCCCCUAUGUUUUUAUUUACCUUUUUGUUGCUUAGGCGGUUCGUAAAGCUUUUUUUUUUUUUAAAAAAAAAUGGCUUUCCAUUGGCUUUUUUCUUAGGCUGAUGAGUUUUAACCGCCAAAGGACUUAAAAACUCUUUGAAAUUUAUUGUCUGAGAUUUUUU
rnacentral:misc_RNA from 1 species